rnacentral:rRNA from 1 species
UAGGGAAUCUUCGGCAAUGGACGAAAGUCUGACCGAGCAACGCCGCGUGAGUGAAGAAGGUUUUCGGAUCGUAAAACUCUGUUGUUAGAGAAGAACAAGGACGUUAGUAACUGAACGUCCCCUGACGGUAUCUAACCAGAAAGCCACGGCUAACUACGUGCCAGCAGCCGCGGUAAUACGUAGGUGGCAAGCGUUGUCCGGAUUUAUUGGGCGUAAAGCGAGCGCAGGCGGUUUCUUAAGUCUGAUGUGAAAGCCCCCGGCUCAACCGGGGAGGGUCAUUGGAAACUGGGAGACUUGAGUGCAGAAGAGGAGAGUGGAAUUCCAUGUGUAGCGGUGAAAUGCGUAGAUAUAUGGAGGGACACCAGUGGCGAAGGCGGCCCCCUGGACAAAGACUGACGCUCAGGUGCGAAAGCGUGGGGAGCAAACAGG